AACGAACGCUGGCGGCAUGCCUAACACAUGCAAGUCGAACGAGACCUUCGGGUCUAGUGGCGCACGGGUGCGUAACGCGUGGGAACCUGCCCUUAGGUUCGGAAUAACUCCCCUAAAGGGGUGCUAAUACCGGAUAAUGUCUUCGGACCAAAGAUUUAUCGCCUUUGGAUGGGCCCGCGUUGGUUUAGCUAGUUGGUAGGGUAAAAGCCUACCAAGGCGACGAUCCAUAGCUGGUCUGAGAGGAUGAUCAGCCACACUGGGACUGGGACACGGCCCAGACUCUGACGGGAGGCAGCAGGGGGGAAUAUGGGACAAUGGGCGAAAGCCUGAUCCAGCAAGGCCGCGUGAGUGAUGAAGGCCUUAGGGUUGUAAAGCUCUUUUACCCGGGAUGAUAAUGACAGUACCGGGAGAAUAAGCUCCGGCUAACUCCGU
rnacentral:rRNA from 1 species